GACGAACGCUGGCGGCGUGCUUAACACAUGCAAGUCGAACGAAGUGGCGAACGGGUGAGUAACGCGUAAUCAACCUGCCCUUCAGAGGGGGACAACAGUUGGAAACGACUGCUAAUACCGCAUACUGAAGGAGGGGAUUGCGUCUGAUUAGCUAGUUGGAGGGGUAAAGGCCCACCAAGGCGAUGAUCAGUAGCCGGUCUGAGAGGAUGAACGGCCACAUUGGGAAUGGGGAACGGCCCAGACUCCCAAGGGAGGCAGCAGUGGGGAAUCUUCCGCAAUGGACGAAAGGCUGACGGAGCAAAGCCGCGGUAGUGAUAGCGGCCUUCGGGGUGUAAAGCUCUGUUAAUCGGGACGCGGUACCGGAAUAGAAAGCCACGGCUAACUACGUGCCAGCAGCCGCGGUAAUAC
rnacentral:rRNA from 1 species